GCAGUUCACAUUAAAAAGCGAGCACAACCACAAGAAAGCGAAAAUAAAAACAAUGCAAGUAACUACCUGAGGGCCAAGAUGAAUGCUAAAGACUGGAAGACAUGGGAAUUAAAAACCAUGUCUUGGAGAGAACAGUAGGGAGUUCUUAUUCACUAGUCAUUUGGUACCCCCACAUCCAUGGUCCCAGGAAAGGGUGGGGGAUUAGUCUUUUUUAAAAGCAUGUUUCUAAGUUAGGAGUAAAAACAGUCAAUACCACCGCCCCUCUUGACAUAUUCCUGUUAAAAAGUGGUCUAAAACCCCACAUUAACCCCUGGCUUUCGCGGGACCAUGAGGGAGGGGGCUCAAAUGACUAGCUCAUCUACAUCUACAUCUACAUUUAUUUAGUCGGUAAAAAUCUUGCGAUAUCACACCAACCUUAAAUAAAAGCAUUUACAUAUAAAUAAAUAAAUAAGGAGAUAAGUAAAUAAAAAUAUAUACAUAUAUACAUGGAUAGGUACUAAGUAUAUAUAGAAUAUA